UUGAGUGCCUCUCUGAAUGUUUUCCCAUCAGUAAGACUCCUCCGAUCUUUAGAGCAAGCAAAAAUGACACCUUGGAUGAACCUGAUAUUGUUAUUAGUAAUCCUACAAGGUGUCCAGUCAGAGGUCCAGUUGGUGGAGUCUGGAGGGGAUGUGAGAAGACCUGGAGGUUCCCUCCGCCUCUCCUGCCAAGGCUCUGGAUUCACCUUCAGUGACUAUGGCAUGAACUGGGUGAGGCAGUAUCCAGGGAAAGGACUGGAAUGGGUGGCAUACAUUAGGUACGAUUCCAGCAGUAUUUACUACUCAGACAAGGUCAACGGACGCUUCACCAUCUCCAGGGACAAUGCCAAAAGCCAGGUGUAUCUGCAAAUGAACAACCUCAAGCUGGAGGACACGGGACGCUAUUAUUGUGCGAGAGACACAGUGAGAGGAAGUGAAUCUGAAGCCAAGCAAAAACUGCCUGUUCCUCAGAGCUGCUCUGCGAGUUCAUCCAUGAACCACAGCUUCAACUGGUGUUUUAUUGUGUGCGGGAUCAGAAAAUUCAUGAAGUUAGAAUUUGCUGUAACCAAUAGAAGAGAAGGUACUUCUGGUAAGAUGGAGGAGGAGAGAUGGAACUGGCUGGAGAAAGAGCUGGAGGAAAAGCCAGCGGACUGGUCCUUGGGACAGGCUGGAGAUUGGGCCAUGCCGGGGUCGAUGUGUUUGUCUGGACUCUAUGAUUCCAUGGGACUUUUCACCCGGAGAGGGUGA